UGUCCUACGGGACGCAGCAGUGGGGAAUAUUGCACAAUGGGGGAAACCCUGAUGCAGCGACGCCGCGUGAGCGAAGAAGUAUUUCGGUAUGUAAAGCUCUAUCAGCAGGGAAGAAAAUGACGGUACCUGACUAAGAAGCUCCGGCUAAAUACGUGCCAGCAGCCGCGGUAAUACGUAUGGAGCAAGCGUUAUCCGGAUUUACUGGGUGUAAAGGGAGCGCAGGCGGUCCGGCAAGUCUGAUGUGAAAGGCGGGGGCUCAACCCCCGGACUGCAUUGGAAACUGUCGGGCUGGAGUGUCGGAGGGG
rnacentral:rRNA from 1 species